AGGUCAUCUAGUCCAACUUCCCUGCAAUAAACA
rnacentral:miRNA from 7 species